rnacentral:rRNA from 1 species
UUUUAUGGAGAGUUUGAUCCUGGCUCAGGACGAACGCUGGCGGCGUGCCUAAUACAUGCAAGUCGAGCGAACAGAGAAGGAGCUUGCUCCUUCGACGUUAGCGGCGGACGGGUGAGUAACACGUGGGCAACCUACCUUAUAGUUUGGGAUAACUCCGGGAAACCGGGGCUA